UAAGGGUUAUUUUAUUAAUUCUGAAAGUAAAGGGGCUCCAAAGUAAAAAUUAAAAGGUACAAAAGCAAUAAAAUUACACUUCUCGACACUUCUCGCGCUUAUAAAAGUAAAAUUUGCGGAAGCCCUAAACUCUCUCGACACUUCUCGAGCUUGGUCGGUCUGCAACUCAGGCGAUUUCAUCAUGGAUCUUUGAUGAUGAUGAACGACGAUGGCUGCGCUGAUUCAAUUGAAGAAGCUCGCCUUUUCUAUGACUGGUUUAAGUAUUUCCAAACACAGAAAUGGCCAUCAAUUUAAGUAUAAGCGGAUCACACGAAAUUCUCAGAAAAGGAAUCGCAGCUUUAGACACACCUCUCAAACUAGACGUCGACGCCUUAACUAAGCCAUCACUGAGGCUUAAGGUAUUUUAGGUGAUGAUGGACGACCAUCAUCUACAACAAUUCUUACAAUCUUGUAUGGGGCAUUCGUAAUCAGUGAGAACCUGUCUGCGUCAUCUAUAGAAUAUUUUUCCUAUUCCACAAGGAAAAGGAUACUAUGUCUUGAACGACAUUUUUCGAUUUGUUGGCGUCGAAGAAUCUUCAGUAGUUGUUGAGGAGAAGGUUAAUGAAAAUACUUCAGUUGCUUCUUUGGAUAUGCCAUUUUGCUUUGACACUAUAUAAAUAGGUCACUUGAUUGCUAUGACACUAUCUCAAGCUUGAUUUUUAUUGUCCGUUAUUGUUAAGGAUUUAAGUUAUAUACACCAAUAUUGUUAAGAUUUUGUUAUACUAUCAGUGUAGAUUAACCUAUUAUGAGGUGUUAAUGAUUAUAAUAGAGAUGUACUUAUAAUCACCUCUUGAAUGAAUUGAUUGUGUAAAUAUUUAACCUUUCAGUCUGUUGAACUUAAACUCGAUUUUAACUAUACUAUAUUGUUCCUUUUUGAAAUUACCAUUGCAUUCAGAACCAGCUACUAAAAGCAAAGCUGAAGAUAAUGUCAAAGCUAACGUCAAUGAAGUUUAUGAUAUAUCAGAGACUAAGGUGACAACUGAUGAUCAAGUUGGCAAGAAGAGCCUUCAAUCACUUCGAGCAAAAAAAAAAAAAGGAAGAAAAAUAGUUACUGAGACAGACCUAGUCGUUGAGAAUGCGACUCCUAAAGUUAUGUACGCUUCAAUGGUUAGUUAUGCUUUUAGGGGUCGUUUGGUUCACAUGCUACUUAUACGGAAAUUAUAAAGAUUUUCUUAGAGUUUCUUUACAUUUAAAGCUUUGCCUUAUUCGAAAUGUUACCCAUAGGUGAAGUAGGGCAGGUUCUCACCGAUUACGAAUGCCCCAUAUGAGAUUGUAAGAAUUGUUGCAUAUGAUGGUCUUUCAUCAGCACCUCAAAUACCUCAAGCCAAUGACGGCUCAGUUAAGGCGCUGAUGUCUAGUUCGAGUGGUGUGUCGAAAGCUGCAGCUCCUUCAACUAAUGUUGCACAAGAAAUUUCAAUGAGAAAAUCUGAUAAAAAUUGAUAUAUACUAGAGGAUUUCCAACCAACACAACAAGAAUGACCUCCAAGCCGUUGUCAAGCAGUUUGGAGCAGUUCAAAGUCGCGAUGUUCAAAACAAAAGUUAUGAGGUAUAUUUGUUUUACAUUGUUGUUGGUUAUUGUUAGUUUAUCAUUUAUUCAAACCUCUUUCUUGUUUACGAUAAAGCAUCUUAAUAGAAAAUUUUGCGAAUGUAGCAUGAAUACUGCUGUCAACUUGUGCAUUUUCAUAAUGCAAUUUCUGCUCAAAAUGCAGUUCAUGUAAUGAGUUCUGCAAAGUCCUCUUUCUUCAAAACAUUUUCAAAUUUUGAUUUAGUUGAUCAUAUUUUGAUGUUUGACUUCUUUUUUUUGAAUUUUUA